UACGUAGGGGGCUAGCGUUGUCCGGAAUCAUUGGGCGUAAAGCGCGUGUAGGCGGCUUGGUAAGUCCGUUCUGAAAGCCCGGGGCUCAACCCCGGGAGGCGGAUGGAUACUGUCAAGCUCGAGUCCGGAAGAGGCAAGUGGAAUUCCCGGUGUAGCGGUGAAAUGCGCAGAUAUCGGGAGGAACACCAAUGGCGAAGGCAGCUCGCUGGGACGUUACUGACGCUGAGACGCGAAAGCGUGGGGAGCAAACAGG
rnacentral:rRNA from 1 species